GGCUCAGAUUGAACGCUGGCGGCAGGCCUAACACAUGCAAGUCGAGCGGUAGAGAGGUGCUUGCAUCUCUUGAGAGCGGCGGACGGGUGAGUAAUGCCUAGGAAUCUGCCUAGUGGUGGGGGGAUAACGUUCGGAAACGGACGCUAAUACCGCAUACGGUCCUACGGGAGAAAGCGGGGGGAUCUUCGGACCUCGCGCCAUUAGAUGAGCCUAGGUCGGAUUAGCUAGUUGGUGAGGUAAUGGCUCACCUAGGCGACGAUCCGUAACUGGUCUGAGAGGAUGAUCAGUCACACUGGAACUGAGACACGGUCCAGACUCCUACGGGAGGCAGCAGUGGGGAAUAUUGGACAAUGGGCGAAAGCCUGAUCCAGCCAUGCCGCGUGUGUGAAGAAGGUCUUCGGAUUGUAAAGCACUUUAAGUUGGGAGGAAGGGUAGUAACCUAAUACGUUGCUACUUUGACGUUACCGACAGAAUAAGCACCGGCUAACUUCGUG
rnacentral:rRNA from 1 species